AAUCUUAUAGUUUAACAUAAAACAUUAAUUUGCAAAAUUAAAUAUACUAACUGUUAAGAUUU
rnacentral:tRNA from 1 species